GGUCAGCUGACACAUCCCUGCCAAUCUCCAGCAGACCCUCCCUCCCAGACCCUCCUACUUCCUGGACAGCAUCCAUGUUGAAGGCAGCUUCAACAUGGAUGCUGUCCAGGAGGUGGGAGGGCCUGGGAGGGAGGGUCUGCCGGAGAUUGGCAGGGAUGUGUCAGCUG